AAACCAACAGGGAUUGCCCCAGUAGCGGCGAGUGAAGCGGCAAGAGCUCAGAUUUGAAAUCGUGUUUCGGCACGAGUUGUAGAGUGUAGGCGGGAGUCUCUGUGGAGCGCGGUGUCCAAGUCCCUUGGAACAGGGUGCCUGAGAGGGUGAGAGCCCCGUAGGGUGCUGCGCGAAGCUUUUGAGGCCCUGCUGACGAGUCGAGUUGUUUGGGAAUGCAGCUCCAAGCGGGUGGUAAAUUCCAUCUAAGGCUAAAUAUUGGCGAGAGACCGAUAGCGAACAAGUACUGUGAAGGAAAGAUGAAAAGCACUUUGAAAAGAGAGUGAAACAGCACGUGAAAUUGUUGAAAGGGAAGGGUAUUGGGCUCGACAUGGGGGGUGCGCACCGCUGUCUCUUGUAGGCGGCGCUCUGGGCGCCCUCUGGGCCAGCAUCGGUUCCUGCUGCGGGAGAAGGGGCUCCGGAAAGUGGCUCUUCGGAGUGUUAUAGCCGGGGCCAGAUGCCGCGUGUGGGGACCGAGGACUGCGGCUUCUGUCUCGGAUGCUGGCAUAACGGCGCAAUACCG
rnacentral:rRNA from 1 species